rnacentral:rRNA from 1 species
GCAACGAUGAAGAACGCAGCGAAAUGCGAUACGUAGUGUGAAUUGCAGAAUUCCGCGAAUCAUCGAGUCUUUGAACGCAAGUUGCGCCCGAGGCUUGACCAAGGGCAUCUCUGCCAGAGCGUCACC